AUUUUGGACAAUGGGGGAAACCCUGAUCCAGCCAUCCCGCGUGUGCGAUGAAGGCCUUCGGGUUGUAAAGCACUUUUGGCAGGGAAGAAACGGCGCGCCCGAAUACGGCGCGUCACUGACGGUACCUGCAGACUAAGCACCGCCUAACUACGUGCCAGCAGCCGCGGUAAUACGUAGGGUGCAAGCGUUAACCGGAAUUACUGGGCGUAAAGCGUGCGCAGGCGGUUCGGAAAGAAAGAUGUGAAAUCCCAGAACUUAACUUUGGAACUGCAUUUUUAACUGCCGAGCUAGAGUAUGUCAGAGGGGGGUAGAAUUCCACGUGUAGCAGUGAAAUGCGUAGAGAUGUGGAGGAAUACCGAUGGCGAAGGCAGCCCCCUGGGAUAAUACUGACGCUCAUGCACGAAAGCGUGGGGAGCAAAC
rnacentral:rRNA from 1 species